rnacentral:lncRNA from 1 species
UGCAAAAAAGCUAGCACCCUAGUAAGAUCAAAUUCUCUUGAUUAGAUUAGCAUUGAUGGAUAUUUGUAAAAGUCAGAUACUUGUGCAAUUACGAUGGAACUUCGAAAAUAUCCACGCACCAUCGAAUCGCGGUAAAGAUCUACCCAUGCAAAGAUAUAAAAUUUAGAUUCUCUUUUAGAUAUUUAAUCUUAUAAUUAAUAAUGUUGCUUGAUUUAUUUUGAGAUUUGAUCUUUAUGCAUGC